AAGUCACUAGCGGUGUAAUAAUGUAAUUUCCUUAUCACUAGAUGGCUGUAGGUACAUAGCAUUGCACGUUAAAACAAGAGAAUAGACCUUUUUCACGACAACCGGCAGCUGCAUCUGAAAGGGCUGCAGCACUUCCUGUUUUGGUGACGGUAAUCCAAGUACCCUGAAAAACGUCUCUCCUCCUCCGGUCCUUUUCAUCAUCAUUACUUAAUUUCCCAGCACUUUCUUUCGCUGAUGCGGAGAAAAUUGCAGCGGCGAAUUCGCCCACCAACAAAUAUGUGAAAGGAAACAAGUUCUUCCACAAAGAAUAUAUCCACAGCUAUCAAGGGGAAACAUCCUGAACCUGUCAGCGACCUGGUGGUGUGGAAGCCCAAAACUAUGGGGAAAAGGUAUCUGCACUCCACACUUUACAGAGUUUACACAGGACCACUUCCAGAUCCCGACAAUCUGGCAUCAGGAGAAAAACUUCGCCAGCCGCAGUCCCAACCACUUAUGGCCCUUGGUCUUUCAAAUUUGGAGCUGGUUCCAUCCAGAUUUGGGCCUGUGCCACAGGGCUCACCAAUGUCUCAUCAGUGCCCACCUGACUGGUCCUCUGGUAGCAUCAUUCUGCACCACAUGACUCCAGACUUCCCUUCUCUUCCUUUGAUGCUACGUAGUCUUCCGAAUAUGGGUUUUGUGCCCACACUGGGUCAACUUAUGCAUCUUCAGUCUCUGCAAGCGUCAUUGGAAAUGUUUUAUGAAAUAGAGGCCUGAACAAGAGCAUAUAUGAGAAUAAGAAUUAUUUUCUGUAUUCUGGCUAACAGAAUGCUUGUGGACAGAAUUAGUUUGUAAAAAAAAAAAAACUGAAGUUUUCUACAACCUCUUUAAAUUUAAGACCACAUUGUUGUGCCACUGUUCAGGUGUACUUUUGAAGUGGACAUG